rnacentral:lncRNA from 1 species
UGACAUAAUAAACUAAUCCUUACAAACGUCUACAUUAUACUUCGAAAGUGAAAAUGCAAAUUUUCAAUUUUUAACAAUGAAAUAAAUAAUAAUAAUAAUAAUAAUAAACCACAAGCCACUCAUGAGCAAGCUCAUGUCACCUCACCGACGGACGAGUUGGACGAACAGUCCUAUAUUUGACAACGAGCUCAAGCUAUCUCGUGUGGUGGAUCGAGUCAAACUCGACACCGAACAACCAAGCGACUAACAUCUACCUAGUCUAACACCCCUAUUUAAAACCCACAAGCUAAAAAAUGGUGACUCGAGCACUAUUUUAACAAAAUUUGGGGAUAUUAUCCUAGACUCAAUUUCUCCAUUAAUAUUUACGAAGAGAGUAUAUUAUUAGCACAAACUCCCUACCAAACAGACCUGCCGCAUCUAACCUGAAGGAACUAAAACAACAUAUGGCAGCAUGCAGUUCAUGUCAGACAGUCAUGACAUGCACAUCUAACUAAACAUCCAGCCCCAAGAAAACUACAAUUACAGUCCACAUUAUACAAUAAAUAACAUAAAGAG